GGACCUCAGGGUUUUGGGGUAGGAGGGCCUCGAGAGCAAGACCUUUUAGGGGUUGGACUUUACCUUUUUUAUAAACUUAUUAAUUCUUUACGUGCUCUUCACUGAGAUGCGUAACAGGACUUGGGACUUUUACUUUGAAAAAAUUAGAGUGUUCAAAGCAGGCAUUUUCGCUUGAAUACAUUAGCAUGGAAUAAUGGAAUAGGACUUUGGUCUUAUUUUGUUGGUUUCUAGGACCGAAGUAAUGAUUAAUAGGGACAGUUGGGGGCAUUAGUAUUUAAUUGUCAGAGGUGAAAUUCUUGGAUUUAUGAAAGACUAACUUCUGCGAAAGUUUGCCAAGGAUGUUUUCAUUAAUCAAGAACGAAAGUUAGGGGAUCGAAGACGAUCAGAUACCGUCGUAGUCCUAACCAUAAACUAUGCCGACUAGGGUCAGUGAGUUUAUUCAAAGACCUCAUUGGCACCUUAUGAGAAAUCAAGUUUUUGGGUUCUGGGGGGUGUAUGGUCGCAAGGUGAAACUUUAAAGGAAUUGACGGAGGGCACACCAGGAGUGGAGCCUGCGGUUAAAUUGACUCAAACCGGGGAACUUACCAGGGCAAGACAUAAGUGGGAUUGACAGAUUGAGAGUCUUUCUUGAUUCUAUGGGUGGUGGUGCAUGGGCCGUUCCUUAGUGGUGGAGUGAUUUGCCUGGUUAAUUCCCGUUAACGAACGAGACCUUAACCUGGCUAAAUAGUUGGCUUGGGAAAAACGGGUCUAACUUCUUAGAGGGACUAUGCGUUCCAAC
rnacentral:rRNA from 1 species